rnacentral:rRNA from 1 species
GAUGAACGCUAGCUACAGGCUUAACACAUGCAAGUCGAGGGGCAGCAUGGACAUAGCUUGCUAUGUCUGAUGGCGACCGGCGCACGGGUGCGUAACACGUAUCCAAUCUGCCCGUCACUCGGGGAUAGCCUUCUGAAAGGAAGAUUAAUACCCGAUGGGAUGCAUUUCCGGCAUCGGAGAUGCAUUAAAGAUUUUAUCGGUGACGGAUGAGGAUGCGUACGAUUAGCUAGUUGGCGGGGUAAACGGCCCACCAAGGCGACGAUCGUUAGGGGUUCUGAGAGGAAGGUCCCCCACACUGGAACUGAGACACGGACCAGACUCCUACGGGAGGCAGCAGUGAGGAAUAUUGGACAAUGGAUGGAAAUACUGAUCCAGCCAUGCCGCGUGCAGGAUGACGGCCCUAUGGGGUCUUUAAAAACUGCUUUUGUAUGGAGCAAUAAGUUCUACGCGUAGAGCG